UACGGAGGGUGCAAGCAUUAAUCGGAGUGAUUGGGCGUAAAGGGCGCGUAGGCGGGCUUGUAAGUCAGGUGUGAAAUUCCGAAGCUCAACUUCGGAGCUGCACUUGAAACUGCAAGUCUGGAGGAAUGGCGGAGAAAACGGAAUUCCACGUGUAGCGGUGAAAUGCGUAGAUAUGUGGAGGAACACCUGUGGCGAAAGCGGUUUUCUAGCUUAUUCCUGACGCUGAGGCGCGAGAGCAAGGGGAGCAAACAGG
rnacentral:rRNA from 1 species